rnacentral:rRNA from 1 species
UGAACUCAUCAUUUCACCCUUUUAUAAGCAAGUGGUAGGUAUAGUAGAUGGCUUAAUCAUUAACAAAUAGCCUGUUCUGCCUAAAACAUCACCAAGUGCUCGAAAACUUUAAAAAACUUCUAAAAAGUACUUGCCAAUAUAACUAGGUUCUCUAUAAUCCGCCCUCACUGAUACGGCAGACGCAGUAAGCGUUAGCAGUGAUUCAGCUCGGUGUUUUAGGUCGCGAAAUCGCCAACGAAAAUAAACUGAAAAAAGUGUUUGACACAACAGUUUAUCUCGC